AAUGAACGCUGGCGGCAUGCCUAACACAUGCAAGUCGAACGAAGGCUUCGGCCUUAGUGGCGCACGGGUGCGUAACGCGUGGGAAUCUGCCCUUGGGUUCGGAAUAACAGUUAGAAAUGACUGCUAAUACCGGAUGAUGUCGUAAGACCAAAGAUUUAUCGCCCAAGGAUGAGCCCGCGUAGGAUUAGCUAGUUGGCGGGGUAAAGGCCCACCAAGGCGACGAUCCUUAGCUGGUCUGAGAGGAUGAUCAGCCACACUGGGACUGAGACACGGCCCAGACUCCUACGGGAGGCAGCAGUGGGGAAUAUUGGACAAUGGGCGAAAGCCUGAUCCAGCAAUGCCGCGUGAGUGAUGAAGGCCUUAGGGUUGUAAAGCUCUUUUACCCGGGAUGAUAAUGACAGUACCGGGAGAAUAAGCUCCGGCUAACUUCGUGCCAGCCGCCGCGGUAAAAC
rnacentral:rRNA from 1 species